CCAUCGGUAGUUCAGUGGUAGAAUGCUCGCCUGCCACGUCGACGGCCUGGGUUCGAUUCCCAGCCGAUGCA
rnacentral:tRNA from 1 species